CCCUUAGAUGUCCUGGGCUGCACGCGCGCUACACUGAUGUGUCCAGUAAGCACCUAACCUCUUCCGAAAGGAACGGGUAACCUUUGCAAAGCACAUCGUGAUGGGGAUAGAUUAUUGCACUUAUUAGUCUUGAACGAGGAAUUCCUAGUAAGCACAAGUCAUCAGCUUGUGUUGAUUACGUCCCUGCCCUUUGUACACACCGCCCGUCGCUCCUACCGAUUGAAUGUUCCGGUGAGCUCUUCGGACUGCGCGGUCUGCAGUUUCUGCGUUCCGUGCGGAAAGUUGCGCAAACCUUAACAUUUAGAGGAAGGAGAAGUCGUAACA
rnacentral:rRNA from 1 species